rnacentral:misc_RNA from 1 species
ACGAGUUAGGGGCCUCUGGCCCGAACCUCCAACCCUUUGUAUCAAAACCUCGUUGCCUCGGGGAGGCCCCUGCCUCACGGCUGGCCCCCCGAUGGACCACUAAACUCUGCAUCUGUAUGACGUCUGAGUAAAGAUUUUAAAUUAAAUCA